rnacentral:lncRNA from 1 species
AACAAAAAUAUAAAUGAUUUGACCUCAAAAGUUGGGAUCAAUUUUUUUAAAAAUGAUUAAAAUAAAAAAUGAAAAAAUAAAAUUAAAUGGAAAAUAAAAUAAAAUAUGAAACAAAUAUAAAAAUGAUUUUUAAAAAAAUGCAAAAAAUGGUAUGUGAUAGAAAAUAUUUUUAUGGAAUUAUGGAGAGAAAAAUGGAUUAAAAAUAUUAAAGGAGCUAUUUAAAAUAAAUUUUAAAAGAAAAGGAAAUAAAAGAA